GGCUAUAUGUUCACAGUACUAGUAUGGGCUCUUAAAAUAGGAUAUUAAACAUAUGUAUACAUCAGUGGUAGUUCAAAAUUUUGAAGACAGAAAAAAUUUUGAGAAGGCAAUCAGAUAUUAUGUGUAAGUUAUUUUCUCAUGGAUCAGAAAAGAAUAUAUGAUUUGGAUAGAGCCAUAGUAGGUUGAACACCAAAGUGUAUGAAAAGUUACAGGAAAAGGGAACAUCACAAUUACAUUCCCAGAAAAGACCAAAAAUUUCCAAGUGUGGCCACAAAUCUAUGAAAUAUCACACUGCAUAAAUAGAGGAAGCCAAUAUCUGUCCACAAUCUACUAAAAUUUUCAAAGUUCAGGCAAUGAGUCAGAUACCUAACAAAUCCAGAAUAUGUCAAAAUUAUAGACAUCUGAAAAGGUAAAUGAGCAGACUGUCCUAAGGUGGCUCUAAGAGUUUCUGUACAUAGAGGAAUACAGGACAACUUAGAAGAUGGAUGAUAUUUCUGAGCACAUGAUGGAAAUUCCAACCAAGAUGGAAAUCUAUUCUGAGCAGAGGAUUGGACUCUUCUAGGAUAUUAAAGAGUCUGCUCCUACUCAAACACUGAAUGGUACCAUAUGAGAAGGCAGAAGACCUUUUCCUGGGCCACCUGCUGUCACUGGGAAACCACCUAGAAGGGAUCGGAAGACACUAAACCUAUGACUCCCUAUGCCUCUGAGUGGAAGGACAACCCUAGAACAGAUCCCAUUAAUUUUAAUAAGACUUCAUUCAAAGCCAGGGGAAAUGCUCUUGUGGGAAGCCAAAAUAUGCCACCCUAAAGUAUGAAGGACUAUUGAGUUGAAGACAAUUAAGAAGAAACAAAUGUAAUAAAGUACUGUUCUCACCUCUAUUUUCCUAAAAGUGGGACAUAUAUUUACAAAGACAAAGAUAUCCUGUCCAUCCUUUUUACCAGAAAGAAGAAGAGCUAACAAUUGAAGAUAACUUUGUACCCUUAUUGAUCUGGAGAUAGUACCAGAAAAAUCUACAUGAAUAAACUUUAUUAACAAGCCUCUAUCUGCCAU